UAAUCUGUAUCUUGAGGUUUGG
rnacentral:miRNA from 1 species